AUCCAGCAGACCUGAGGGGAAUCAGCUGGACUGAGGGUCUGACCUGGCCCCAGGAGGAAAGCCCCCAAUUAGACAUUAACUCCCCCAUUCCAGCCCCAUCAUGGCAGGCCUGGCACAGCCACAGUGAAUGUGCUAGACACUGGGCAAGUUGCAAAUUGAACCCAACUCACCUCGGUCUUGGGGCUUUGGGCAGAUCUGCUAGCAUCCUCACUGCCCUGACCUGCUUGCUUCAGUGGGACACACUCCAGGUCUCAGAUCCCACCUGAACACCCAUGUCCCUUUCAUGCCCAGGAAGGCCAGCUCAGAGGAAGGAUCUUCCAGAAACACAGCUUGUCCAAGGUCAGAUUGUUCCUAAGGCUGAGAAGAAGGAAGCCGUGUCCACAGCUGCACACAGUGGCGCAUGGCUACACACGGCUGCAUGUGGCAUUGCCCAUGGCUGUCACAGUGGCUCACACUGCACAAGCCAGAAGGAGCAGAUGAUUCCUCCUGAGAGAGGUGCUGAAGUUUGCAAAAGUGUGGAGGGAUAUGUUCUAGAGUGCCCAAGGUCUGCAGGUGGAACUGAAGGACUCACCACAGACCCCAGCUGGAGGGGCCAGCUUCCACAGACCUUCGGCCCUCCCACAGCCCCCACCUGCCUCAGGCCUGCCCCCACCUCUGUCUCCUACCUCAGGUAGCCCCAGAGAUCAACAGAAGCAGCUGGAACUGAGGAAGAUGUACAUUCUACACAGUGCUAUCUGUACACCUUAAUUUUCAAGGGAUGGCUAUCCAGAGCAGCUGUACUCCUGAGAGAAGAGCCAGGACUCAGCCCUCCCCAACCCACUGCUCCUGUUCCAGGGACUUAAGCACAGCACUGGCCCAGGAGGGAUCUAUAGAGCUGACCCUAAU
rnacentral:lncRNA from 1 species